AAGAGUUUAUGGACUUCGGUCUACUACUCCACCCUUUGUUUACAAUACCAUUGUUGCUUUGGCAGGCCCGUCGAAAGACAACCGGCUUCGGCUGGUCAGUGCCUGCCAGAGGACCUAAAACUCUUGAUUUAUUAUUGUCUGAGUACUAUAUAAUAGUUA
rnacentral:misc_RNA from 1 species